rnacentral:misc_RNA from 1 species
AACGCACAUUGCGCCCGCCAGUAUUCUGGCGAGCAUGCCUGUUCGAGCGUCAUUUCAACCCUCGGGUCCCGCUUUGCUGCGGGCCCCGGCGUUGGGGACCGGCCUCCGCCUUGGACGGCCGCCCCCGAAAACUAGUGGCGGUCCCGCCGCGGCCUUCUCUGCGUAGUAGCAAAACACCUCGCACUGGAGAGCGGCGCGGCCACGCCGUAAAAAAAACGAACUUCUGAAGGUUGACCUCGGAUCAGGUAGGAAUACCCGCUGAACUUAA